UUCGGAUCGCGGCCUGUGGGCGGUUCGCCGCCGGCGAGUCGCGAGAAGUCCACUGAACCUUAUCAUUUAGAGGAAGGAGAAGUCGUAACAAGGUUUCCGUAGGUGAACCUGCGGAAGGAUCAUUG
rnacentral:rRNA from 1 species